rnacentral:rRNA from 1 species
UACGAAGGGGGCUAUCGUUGCUCGGAAUCACUGGGCGUAAAGGGCGCGUAGGCGGCCAUUCAAGUCGGAGGUGAAAGCCCAGGGCUCAACCCUGGAAUUGCCUUCGAUACUGUUUGGCUAGAGACCGGAAGAGGUAAGUGGAACUGCGAGUGUAGAGGUGAAAUUCGUAGAUAUUCGCAAGAACACCAGUGGCGCAGGCGGCGUCCUGGACCGGCACUGACGCUGAGGAGCGAAAGCGUGGGGAGCGAUCCGG